UUUCCGUAGGUGAACCUGCGGAAGGAUCAUUCACAAUAAGUGUUUUAUGGCGCUUUUUCAAUACAUAACCGCCUUGUGUGCAAUGUUGUCUUGUAACGUAAAUUCUUGUCAUUCGCGCUACAUGUUGUAAACAUCGACUCUUAUUUUUAACAGCUUUGUCUGAAUACCUGUAGGACUACUUACUUCAAAUACAACUUUCAACAACGGAUCUCUUGGCUCUC
rnacentral:misc_RNA from 1 species